GCUUUCCUUGUCAGGGAGUGGGAGAGGAGCUCGAUGGACAACUAGUGAGGGUGGCUCUGUUGACACCAAAACAACACUCAAACAUCACCUGGAUUUCAGUCCAGAUCAUGGUGCAUUUAUGGAACC
rnacentral:ncRNA from 1 species